rnacentral:lncRNA from 1 species
ACAAAUACAUAUUAAACAAGACUUAGGUUCACAGCUAAAGUGAACCUUUAAAUUCACCACUUUUCUUAUUAUCAAUCAAAAUUUCACCUACAUUAAUAAUAAAAUAGAUUAAAUUUAUUUAAAAAAAUCUGAAAUAAUUGAAAAAAAAAUAAUAACGCUAAUUUUAAUGAUGCUAACGCCACUAACUAAAUCCUAAACUUUAAAUCUAUACCCUGAACCUUAAACCCUAAACCCAAACCGUAAAUCCUAAACCCAAACACUGUAUCUUAAACCCAAAUCUUAACCCCUAAACUCAAACCGUAAACAUUAAACCCAAACCCUAUAUUCUAAACCCAAACCCUAUAUCUUAAACCCAAAUCAUACACUACAAACUCAAACUAUAUAUCCAAACCUAAUCC